rnacentral:rRNA from 1 species
UAUGUAGGGGGCAAGCGUUGUCCGGAAUCAUUGGGCGUAAAGAGCGUGUAGGCGGCCCGAUAAGUCCGCUGUGAAAGUCCAGGGCUCAACCCUGGAAUGCCGGUGGAUACUGUCGGGCUCGAAUCCGGAAGAGGUGAGUGGAAUUCCUGGUGUAGCGGUGAAAUGCGCAGAUAUCAGGAGGAACACCAAUGGCGAAGGCAGCUCACUGGGACGGUAUUGACGCUGAGACGCGAAAGCGUGGGGAGCAAACAGG